AGUGAACGCUGGCGGUAGGCCUAACACAUGCAAGUCGAACGGCAGCACAGUAGGAGCUUGCUCUUACGGGUGGCGAGUGGCGGACGGGUGAGGAAUACAUCGGAAUCUACUUUUUCGUGGGGGAUAACGUAGGGAAACUUACGCUAAUACCGCAUACGACCUACGGGUGAAAGCAGGGGAUCUUCGGACCUUGCGCGAUUGAAUGAGCCGAUGUCGGAUUAGUUAGUUGGCGGGGUAAAGGCCCACCAAGGCGACGAUCCGUAGCUGGUCUGAGAGGAUGAUCAGCCACACUGGAACUGAGACACGGUCCAGACUCCUACGGGAGGCAGCAGUGGGGAAUAUUGGACAAUGGGCGCAAGCCUGAUCCAGCCAUACCGCGUGGGUGAAGAAGGCCUUCGGGUUGUAAAGCCCUUUUGUUGGGAAAGAAAAGCAGCAGGUUAAUACCCCGCUGUUCUGACGGUACCCAAAGAAUAAGCACCGGCUAACUUCGUG
rnacentral:rRNA from 1 species